UGGGGAAUCUUGGGCAAUGGGGGAAACCCUGACCCAGCGACGCCGCGUGGGGGAUGAAGGCCUUCGGGUUGUAAACCCCUGUUCGGUGGGACGAACAUUUUCCCAUGAAUAGUGGGAGAAUUUGACGGUACCACCAGAGUAAGCCCCGGCUAACUCCGUGCCAGCAGCCGCGGUAAUACGGAGGGGGCAAGUGUUGUUCGGAAUUACUGGGCGUAAAGGGCGCGCAGGCGGCUUGGCAAGUCGAGUGUGAAAUACCUCAGCUUAACUGAGGAACGGCGCUCGAAACUACCUCGCUUGAGGGCGGGAGAGGGAAGUGGAACUCUCGGUGUAGGGGUGAAAUCUGUAGAUAUCGAGAGGAACACCGGUGGCGAAGGCGGCUUCCUGGCCCGUACCUGACGCUGAGGCGCGAAAGCGUGGGGAGCAAACAG
rnacentral:rRNA from 1 species